rnacentral:piRNA from 1 species
UGGGAACUUGUGUUGUGCUGUUCU